AGAGUUUGAUCCUGGCUCAGGAUGAACGCUAGCUACAGGCUUAACACAUGCAAGUCGAGGGGCAGCAUGAACUUAGCUUGCUAAGUUUGAUGGCGACCGGCGCACGGGUGAGUAACACGUAUCCAACCUGCCGAUGACUCGGGGAUAGCCUUUCGAAAGAAAGAUUAAUACCCGAUGGCAUAGUUCUUCCGCAUGGUAGAACUAUUAAAGAAUUUCGGUCAUCGAUGGGGAUGCGUUCCAUUAGGUUGUUGGCGGGGUAACGGCCCACCAAGCCUUCGAUGGAUAGGGGUUCUGAGAGGAAGGUCCCCCACAUUGGAACUGAGACACGGUCCAAACUCCUACGGGAGGCAGCAGUGAGGAAUAUUGGUCAAUGGACGAGAGUCUGAACCAGCCAAGUAGCGUGAAGGAUGACUGCCCUAUGGGUUGUGAACUUCUUUCAUACGGGAAUAAAGUGAGGCACGUGUGCCUUUUUGUAUGUACCGUAUGAAUAAGGAUCGGCUAACUCCGUGGCAGCAGACGCGGUAAUACGGAGGAUCCGAGCGUUAUCCGGAUCUAUUGGGUGUAAAGGGAGCGUAUGCGGACGCUUAAGUCAGUUGUGAAAGUGUGCGGCUCAACCGUUGAAAUGCUGUUGAUACUGGGUGUCUUGAGUACAGUACAGGCAGGCGGAAUUCGUGGUGUAGCGGGGAAGAUGCUUAGAUAUCACGAAGAACUCCGAUUGCCAAAGCCGCUUGCUGGACUGUAACUGACGCUUAUGCUCGACAGUGUGGGUUUCACACAGGAUUAGAUACCCUGGUAAUCCACGCAGUAAACGAUGAAUACUCGCUGUUUGCGAUAUUCAGGUGAGCGGCCAAGGCGAGAGCGUUAAGUAUUCCACCUGGGGAGUACGCCGGCUGACGGUGCAGACUCAACGGACUUGACGGGGGCCCGCGCCAGGCGGGAGGAGCCUGUGGUUUGAUUCGAUGAUACGCGAGGAACCUUACCCGGGCUUUGAUUGCGGCUGGAGUGAUG
rnacentral:rRNA from 1 species